AGCUCACCAAUGCCGACGUCGUUUCGCUACUCCAGUUCCACGCCGUCCCUAAAUACACUCCUAAAGGAGCUCUCAAGACCUCCAAGGACCCCAUCAGCACUCUCGCCACCAACGGCGCCGGAAAGUUCGACUUCACCGUCACCACCUCCGGCGACCAGGUCACACUCCACACCGGAGUUGGCUCCUCCAGAGUCGCCGACACAGUCCUCGACGCUACUCCCCUCUCCGUCUUCACCGUCGACAGCGUCCUCCUCCCAGCUGAGCUCUUCGGAAAGUCUCCAUCUCCGGCGCCGUCGAUGGAGCCAGUGGCUGCUCCUUCACCGACACCGGUUCUUGCUCCCAGCCCAGCUUCCGUAGAAGCGCCGUCGCCGUUGGGCGCUUCACCUCCGGCUCCUCCUUCCGAGACUCCAGAGGGAGCUCCGUCGGACGCGCCGUCGUCGGAGGCGGCGGAUAGUACCUCGACGAACGGAGCUGGUCACGUGAGUUCACCUGCAUUGCUGAUGACACUGCUCACUGUCGUCUCUGUAACUGCC
rnacentral:lncRNA from 1 species